AGAUAUUUUAAACAGUCAACAUUUAACCCAAAGGAAUACAUCUUUAAUGCCAUUUAGGGCAUGCCUCCUUCUUCUUUGCCUUCUGCCAUGAUAGUAAGUUUCCUGAAGACUCCCAGCCAUGCCUCCUGUACAGCCUGGGGAACUGGGUCUUUCCACAGCAAACCUGAGAAAUACUGAGAUAAAAAUAUCUCUGGACUGGACCCAAGAUUCAGAAGAACUGCAUUCAAGCCCCAGCUUCACCAAAAUACCAUGUGAGACUGAGUUUACU